CUUUCUACUGUAAUUAAUAAAUAAUAUACAAACAUUCAUACAAUAAGUCGGGUACCUGUAUCCUAUCAGAGUGUUGUGGGUACGACUGGUACUCGGCCCCAGUCCCAGACAAUAUCUUAGUUCAGUACUUACCGGUGUGAACCUGCACCGUUAGUUCCUGAUUAUCCGGUCGGGUGAUUACCGUUUUGUGCCUCGAGAACACUAACCCUCUUUCAGGGCUCAGGUGGGCCCUCUGACCACGACGCUCCAGAGAGAGAAUCACCUAUCACGGUUGUCAAUCGUUUGACGACUGCAGACUGCUCAGGAUCUUGACACAAAACGGUUAGAAAAUAAUUAAUAAUAUUAAGAAAUUAAUACUAACAACUAACGUGGGUUACUAACAGUAUUUUAUCGUGAGUACAGUUCUAACGGUAAUAUGUUGUUAUAAUAAAAAAAAUUCCAGCGUUACUAAAUUCCUGUUUUGGUGUAGUGAUACCAACAUACAACUGGGAUCCCACAUCCCACAUAAAAAAUCCAUCUCUUUUUCCCAUCCUGGAAAAGAGAUGCAAUAAAACCUUCAAUAGUUUUUCCGUUUAUAAAACCAUUUCGAUAUACAUAUACUGCUUUAAUAAACCCAGUAUAAAACAUGAUAUCUGUAACUAAUCGCUUUAAUAGAAGCUAUAAUUGAUAAACCACGAGUAAUCUAUAUAUACCAAACAAAACCAUGCAUGCAUUUUUUUUAUCAUCAGUAAUAUAUCAGUUAAUUUGCAACAUUUAAAAUAUGGCACAUGAAAAGACAGUGUAAAAGAAAUGUAAGUCCCUACCUCUUGGCUCUUGCUCGCUAGCUCCUUACCUUCAUUUUAAAUCCAAUCAUUCAACUAGGACCGCCGGUAGCCUAAAAAUGCAUCUCUCAUAAAUCGAUAUGAAUUCACGAGAAGUAUCGAGUAUAUACCUAAACUUUCUAAAGUUCAAUUUGGCAUUCCAAUUGUCUAUAAAAUAGCCAAAAACCCCUAAUCAUAGGGAGGGUAUUGCUUCAAAUAAACUACACCUAAUUCAGUUCAUAAGCUACACAAAUGAAAGAAGAACUCAAGUUGGUUAAAAUACACCCAUGUAGAUUAUGGUUACCUUCUAUAAGCCCAACUCCAAUUAGGCAAUUAGGAAAUCAGAUUGUUUCCUGCGUCACUAAGAUGACCACAACAACAACUUUUCCAUUUGCUUUCUACAGCCUUAGUCAUUUCUUCUUUUGAGAAAAAGGCAACUUCCUUUCAACCCUCAUAGCAGCAUCUUUAUCACCUUCUAUUGAACCCAAAACAACUAUAUCACCUGCAUACAUAUUUCACAUCUAAAAUCCUUUUUGUCAUUCCCUGUUCAUAAGCUAGCCCUUAAUUCAGAUCCAUGGGGUACUCAAUCUAUGAAUCUUCUUUUCCAAUUAUUAGUAAACCAAACAUAGAAACCAUCAGUUCAUACUUCAUACCACUAAUUACUAAAGUCCCAAUCAUUGAAUUGAACUUAAACUUACUAAUAUGUUUACUGGAAGAUUUUUGGAAACUGUUAGAACACGUACCGACUCGUCAAUCUAUUGAAAGAAAGAAAUCUCCCAGCUAGUAUCUUCCUUUGGAAAUCAUCUAGUGUGUUGAAUUGUUGAUUGGUUAAAGGUGGAAUUACCUCACAUCAAGUUUAAUGGGUGAGUUAAUGGCCUGUACUUUUAAACUUCUGAUUCUCAUCUCUUUCUCAAUCUAUAUCAGUUGAUGAGAGAAAACUCCAGCAACCAGCUC
rnacentral:lncRNA from 1 species